AACUUAAAGGAAUUGACGGGGGCCCGCACAAGCGGUGGAGCAUGUGGUUUAAUUCGACGCAACGCGAAGAACCUUACCUGGGCUAGACAACGGUGGACUCCCCAGAGAUGGGGAUUUCCCUUCGGGGACUGCCGGAUCAGGUGCUGCAUGGCUGUCGUCAGCUCGUGUCGUGAGAUGUUGGGUUAAGUCCCGCAACGAGCGCAACCCCGCCUUUAGUUGCUACCAUUCAGUUGAGCACUCUAAAGGGACCGCCGGCGUUAAGCCGGAGGAAGGUGGGGAUGACGUCAAGUCCUCAUGGCCCUUAUGGGCUGGGCUACACACGUGCUACAAUGGCGGUGACAGUGGGACGCGAAACCGCGAGGUGGAGCAAAUCCCCAAAAGCCGUCUCAGUUCGGAUUGCACUCUGCAACUCGAGUGCAUGAAGUUGGAAUCGCUAGUAAUCGCGGAUCAGCACGCCGCGGUGAAUACGUUCCCGGGCCUU
rnacentral:rRNA from 1 species